UACGUAGGCAGCGAGCGUUGUUCGGAGUUACUGGGCGUAAAGGGUGUGUAGGCGGUUGUUUAAGUUUGGUGUGAAAUCUCCCGGCUCAACUGGGAGGGUGCGCCGAAUACUGAAUGACUAGAGUGCGGGAGAGGAAAGUGGAAUUCCUGGUGUAGCAGUGAAAUGCGUAGAUAUCAGGAGGAACACCGGUGGUGUAGACGGCUUACUGGACCAUUUCUGACGCUGAGACACGAAAGCGUGGGUAGCAAACAGG
rnacentral:rRNA from 1 species